AAAAAAGUGAAUCUACACUCUAAAAUAUGUAUUAGAGUGUAUCUUUCCAUUGUAGUAGUUAGGAGUGUACCCUUUUUAUGGCAGCUGUAUUUUUUAUAUCAUCACAUCACUUUUUUUCACGACACACCUUUUAUGUGAUUCUAAAUAUAAGUCCUUUUAGAGAUUUUAAUAUGGACUACGUACGAAAUAAGAUGAGUGAAUUUACACUCUAAGACAUGUCUAUAUUGAUCCAGAUGUAGUCCGCUGAAAUCUCUACUAGUAGUGUAGUUUUUUGGGGUAUUUUUUCUUUCCCAUUGUACUAGUGUAUGAGUUUAUCUUUUUUAUGGCAGCUGUAUUUUUGCUAUCAUCACAUCACAACUUUUUUUUUCACGACGCACCUUUUAUGUGUUUCUAAAUAUAAGUCCUUUUACAGAUUUUAAUAUGGACCACGUACGAAACAAAAUGAGUGAAUUUACACUCUAAGAUAUGUCCAUAUUCAUCCAGAUGUAGUCCGCUGAAAUCUUUACUAGUAGUGUAGUAGUUUUUUGGGGUAUUUUCUUUCCCAUUGUAGUAGUGUAGGAGUGUAUCUUUUUUAUGACAGCUGAAUUUAUGCUAGCUAUCAAUGGCCAUUUACUUUUCCCUCUGUUUGGAACGCAUCUAAUCUA
rnacentral:lncRNA from 1 species